rnacentral:rRNA from 1 species
GACGAACGCUGGCGGCGUGCUUAACACAUGCAAGUCGAACGGAAAGGCCCUGCUUUUGUGGGGUGCUCGAGUGGCGAACGGGUGAGUAACACGUGAGUAACCUGCCCUUGACUUUGGGAUAACUUCAGGAAACUGGGGCUAAUACCGGAUAGGAGCUCCUGCUGCAUGGUGGGGGUUGGAAAGUCUCGGCGGUUGGGGAUGGACUCGCGGCUUAUCAGCUUGUUGGUGGGGUAGUGGCUUACCAAGGCUUUGACGGGUAGCCGGCCUGAGAGGGUGACCGGCCACAUUGGGACUGAGAUACGGCCCAGACUCCUACGGGAGGCAGCAGUGGGGAAUAUUGCACAAUGGGCGGAAGCCUGAUGCAGCAACGCCGCGUGCGGGAUGACGGCCUGCGGGUUGUAAACCGCUUUCGCCUGUGACGAAGCGUGAGUGACGGUAAUGGGUAAAGAAGCACCGGCUAACUACGUG